rnacentral:tRNA from 1 species
UGGAAAUGUAGCUCAGGCGGUAGAGCAGUAGGUUCCUAACCUUCAUGUCGCAGGUUCGAUUCCUGCCUUUUCACC